UAGCAAGCCUGGCUGCGGAGAUCUGGUGAUCAGGAAGACCAUAAACUCCCGUGGUAAAGCACUGCAGAACACUUUAGUAUGGGUUUACUGCGUGGUGUCGCACUGACAGCCGACAGCAAAAUUUUUGGGUGUGGAGAUGUGUUGGCGCAGAUCAGGC
rnacentral:snRNA from 14 species